GAGAGGAAAGGGUAAGUCUGAGCCAGAGAGUUAAGGACAUUCUACAAAGAGCAACAAGAAAGGCUGUAAAUUUGGGAAGCCACAGGAUUAAAUCCACAUGAGAGAUCUCUCUCUGAUGAUGACUGUCAGGCCACAUAAGAGAUAAAGACUUGGGAUUAGGGAGGUGACGAGAUGCCAGAAAGAGGCUGGAGGAAAAAUUGGGCAUGAGGAAUGGGAGGUAGAGGGUUCUAUGGGAAAUCUGGCUAAGGUUACUGGGUAGAUGCCCUUGCUCUUCAUGAAUGCAUGAAAAGCAGAGAACAAUAAGGACCACAGCUAAGUGCCCAAACCCUAGAGGUCAGCUAUAACUCACAGAUGUCACACAGGGCAGGCUAAUAACUGCUCAACAACCCAAUAUAAAUUCACUGACACUAAAUUAUUUGGAAUAUAGAUUCAUAAUCCUUCUACAACAACAUACAGCCUUGAGUCAAAAUACAAGGCCUUGAAUCAAAAGGACUGUCUCUGAAUAAAAGCAGAAAAGUCCUUCUUGGAAACGUGGUUUUGAUCUAUCUUUGAAACAACCUUGUACAGUUUGUACUAAUCUUGAAAAAUAUUUUAAAUAGCAAAGCUGGAAAGGACCUUAAAAGUCUUGUUCAACUCUAAUCUAAGGAAUGAAAUCAUCUCAGCUCAGCAAAACUUUGUACAAAUCUGAUGACUUCCAAUGUGAGAAGCAGAACCUAGGCUCCUGCCCUCUGCCUGGAGAUCUCUAGAAGAGCCAGAUGUGACCUGCUGGAAGAAGGUCAGGACCAGAGGAGGCUGAAUCCACCCUGCAAUUCACUACUUCAAAGAAAGAAAAGCAGGUCCUAGCUAACCUGGGCUUCUAAGAAGUUUUUCAAAUGCCAGGAAACCUAAGAAUUAACUUCAGAUUCAUAAUUUAUAUAAUCACAUUAAUGGUUAAUGUUUUCUGAAUGCUAAUAUCACCUUAAGUGAAGAGAGAAACGGUAAAGAGCAUUUCUCUAUGGUCUAUCCCUUCUACAAUUUUCAUUUUAUUAUAGACACAAAGGCUUCAAGAAUAAAUGGUGUGGGUAUUGAAAUGACUUAGGUUCCAUCUCCAAUUGAGUAAAAAGAAUGGGAAGUAGAGGAACUAUAUCAUUCACAGGCUGAAGCUGGAGUUCAGUUGGAGGAGACUGAAGUUUGGAAAAAUCAGCCAAAUUCAUCAGAAAUUCUAAGGCAAUUAAUACUUCAGUUCCUAGAAUGGGGUUCCCAAACUGUUGAUCUGAUCAAUUGUGCAAACAAAUAUUGUCUAGAAUAGUUAUCACAGCCUGAGUUAGCAAUUGGUUAUUAUAUUUACAUUUUGCUCAAUGAUUAAUUACACUACUGAUUCAGUAUUUUUACAAAAAAUUAGUGUAUGGGUGACAUUAUCAAAGUGACCUAGUAAGUUUACCAAUCAGCUGGUGAUCUAUAUACAGUUUUUUCCAUUUUACUUUAACAUUAAAAAUGUAAUCUUCAAUAUUGCUUGGUGCUAUGGACGGACUAUGUCCUCCUAAAAUUCCCAUGUUGAAGUCAUAAUCCCAAGGUGAUGGUUUUAGGAGAUGGGGGGUCUUUGGUGAGGUGAUUAGCUCAUAAGGACAGAGCUGUCAUUUGUGGCCUUGUAAAAAAGACCACAGAGAGCCACCUUGUCCCCUUUACUAUGAGAGAAUAUAGCAAUAAGGCUGUGUCUAUGGGAAAUAGACCCUCACUUAACACUGAAUCUGUUGGCACAUUGAUCUUGGAUUUCCUAGCCUCUAGAAGAGUGAGAAACAAAUUUUUAUUGUUUAUAAGCAUUUAUAAUAGUUUAUGGCAUUUUAUUAUAGUAGCCCAAAUGGACUAAGACACCUAAAUUCAGAGUGUUGUCCCAAGUCAAACAUUGGGGAGGACUUGGGGGAGAAUGGUGAUCUAGAGUCAUGGCCUGACUCUUUCAGACAUUGAAGAUGCUGAAGUGCUGGGGGUGAGUACUCUCCAAACCCUUCAGCAUCAAUCCUUGCAAAAUUGGAAGGUUCUCCUUCACAUAGCAGACAGGACAGUAAAAAUGGACAUGAACUAAAAAAUAGGUACUAGCAACGUGCUGUAUCUAUAAGGCAUAAACAAAGAAUUGUGGUUGAAAUGAACAACAGUUGGGGUGACUGUUCUUAUCUCUUCCUUUUAUUCCAUUCUCUUCCAUGGCUUCAGGUUCUCUGUACACUAAUCAGGACACAGAGGGUUCUCUCAUCCAGAAUCUUCACUAAGUUUUGUGUAUCUGAACUGCAAGUAUCUCAGAGGAGAAAGGAAAUGUGUGUGGGCACUGUGGCCAGGGGUACUGAGGGUACUGACACCCUCUUGGAUAAGGCACAGUUACUAUCGGGCAAGUAAAAUCCUCAAGACUCAGUACUGCCAAGUGAGCACUUGCCAGUGUUUACUUUUUACCCCCUUUUAAACCAAAGGAAUUCCAGAUGUUGCUUUUAACAUUAAAGGAAAAUUUAAACUCUG